rnacentral:rRNA from 1 species
GACGAAUGCUGGCUGCGUGCUUAACACAUGCAAGUCGAACGGUGAAGGAGGGCUUGCCCUCCGGAUCAGUGGCGAACGGGUGAGUAACACGUGGGCAACCUGCCCCUCACUCUGGGAUAACGCCGGGAAACCGGCGCUAAUACCGGAUACGACCAGGCGCGACAUCUCGCCUGGUGGAAGGAAUUUCGGUGAGGGAUGGGCCCGCGGCCUAUCAGCUUGUUGGUGGGGUAACGGCCCACCAAGGCGACGACGGGUAGCCGGCCUGAGAGGGCGACCGGCCACACUGGGACUGAGACACGGCGCAGACUCCUACGGGGGGCAGCAGUGGGGAAUAUUGCGCAAUGGGCGAAAGCCGGACGCAGCGACGCAGCGUGAGGGACGAAGGCCUGCGGGUUGUAAACCUCUUUCAGCGGGGACGAAGCGAAAGUGGCGGUACCCGCAGAAGAAGCACCGGCUAACUACGUGCCAGCCGCCGCGGUAAUAC